UAGGGAAUAUUAGAAAUGGACGAAAGUCUGAUCUAGCAACACCGCGUGUGCGAAGAAGGCCUUCGGGUUGUAAAGCACUUUUUGAGAGGAUGAGGAAGGACGGUACUCUCAGAAUAAGUCUCGGCUAACUACGUGCCAGCAGCCGCGGUAACACGUAGGAGGCAAACGUUAUCCGGAUUUACUGGGCGUAAAGCGCGUGUAGGUGGUUUGGUAAGUAGAGCGUGAAAGCUCCUGGCUCAACUGGGAGAGGUCGUUCUAAACUGCCGGACUAGAGGAUGGUAGAGGGAGGUGGAAUUCCGGGUGUAGCGGUGGAAUGCGCAGAUAUCCGGAGGAACACCAGUGGCGAAAGCGGCCUCCUGGCUCAUAACUGACGCUCAGACGCGAAAGCUAGGGUAGCAAACG
rnacentral:rRNA from 1 species